GUGAUCAUGGGGAGUGGCACAUGCGGCAGUUUGCUGUAGUAGCUGAGCCCAGUGCCAGACAAAGUGUCAGCCUGAAUAAAGUUUAUAUGAAAUGUCCUUUUUUGGAGUUUCACCUUAUCUUGUUGCUGUUUUUAUUUUUGGAGCCUUUGAAAAAGCUCUAACAGCAGUGGUCCAAACACAGCAGACUGUGCUGGCAGCAGUGGGACAAGAUGCUGAAUUCAGCUGUCAGCUCUUGGACACUAAAGACGUCCUUCAGGUCACAUGGCAGAAAAUCUCUCCUGAUGUGGAGACAAGCGUUGCCACCUACAGCAAGUACUAUGGUCAGAGAGUGAAUGAUGGCUUUAAAGAUAAAGUUGAGUUUAAAUACACUGGACUACACAACUGCUCCAUAGUCAUCAGGAAUGUGACGGAGCAGGAUGAAGGCUGCUAUCACUGCCUGUUUAACACUUAUCCUGAAGGCUCCUUCAUUGGUAGAACCUGCCUCCAAGUCUAUGAGCUGCAUGAACCUGUUGUUGAUGUCAGAGAGUCAAACUCUACUGAAGAGUGGGUUGUUUCCUGUUCAGCCACUGGUCGACCUGCUCCCACUGUAACACUCAGUGUCUCACAACAAGACCUCAGCUUCUCACAGUACAACACUGUCAGUGUGUCCAACACCAACGCUACAUUCACUGUCACCACUACAGCUGUGCUCUCAGGUUCACGUAAACACAGCACACAGGUGGGAUGUGCAGCACGAGUGCUCUCUGCUCCUCACAGAGAGGUGAUGGUGACGAUUCCUGAUGAUGAUGAUGAUGAUGAGCUAGACGAGAAAUCAGGAUCUGAUCCCAGGAAUUUAGGAAUCAGAAUUUCAGCCAUUCUGUUGUCUGUGAUGUUGUUGGUGGCCUGUGUUACUGCACUCAUUUUUGUCUGGUAUAGAAAGAAAUCUCAGAGCAGUCAGUCACACAGGCAGGUUGAGAUGAAUGUUAUUCCUACCUGAAUCUACGAUGAGAAAUAAAGGGGACUCAAACAUCUUCAGGUAAACACCGUGACAAGUGGGUACCUGCUGACACCAAAUGAUGAACUGGGUCAUCAUGUGGUGGUGAUGAACAGCAACAAAACUACAUAAUGAAAAAUCUUUACUUUUUUUGUUUACUUUUUUUUUCAAGAAAAGUGUAUUACCUAAAACAACGGUGCUAAAAUUUGACAAAUAACUGCAUUAAAGUUGUACUAAAGAAAAUGUCAAAUGUUACAUUUACAUUGACAGUUAAAAUUGUUACAAUUCUAUUUUUUUUAUAAUCCUCUGCGCUAUAUAUUUAUAGCACAUGUAUUUUUAUUUUAUUUUAUUUUUCAACAGUUUUAAAUGGUGUUAUUCCUUUUUACAUUUAGAAACAUGUAACCAUGUUCUUCCUUAGCAGAAUAGCACAAAAGUUCAAUAAGCACUAAAAUGUGUUGCACUGAAACAUUUGCAAACCAUUAAAUAAUAUUAUUGUCCUGUACAUUUCCGUUUUCAUGUACUUGAUGCU